rnacentral:rRNA from 1 species
AAUGAACGUUGGCGGCAUGGAUUAGGCAUGCAAGUCGAGCGAGAAGAGUUUUGAAGCUUGCUUUAGAACUCGGACAGCGGCGAAAGGGAGAGUAACGCGUAGUUAUGUGCCCUAGGGUCCGGAAUAGCCACGGGAAACUGUGGGUAAUGCCGGAUAAUAUCCCCGGAUCACAGGUGUGAUUCCGCCCUAGGAGCAGACUGCGUCCUACUAGCUAGUUGGUGGGGUAAUGGCCUACCAAGGCAACGAUGGGUAGCGGGUGUGAGAGCAGGACCCGGCUCACUGGGACUGAGACACUGCCCAGACACCUACGGGUGGCUGCAGUCGAGAAUCUUCGGCAAUGGGCGAAAGCCUGACCGAGCGAUGCCGCGUGCGGGAUGAAGGCCCUCGGGUUGUAAACCGCUGUCGUAGGGGAGGAAGGUUCCGUGAAGAGCGGAAUUUGACCUAUCCUAGGAGGAAGUACGGGCUAAGUUCGUGCCAGCCGCCGCAGUAA